rnacentral:rRNA from 1 species
AGUCGCGGUAAUACGUAGAAGACUAGUGUUAUUCAUGUUUAAUCGGUUUAAAGGGUACCUAGACGGUCAACCAAGCUUUACAAUAAAGAAGAAAAGGGACUAAUUCGCUAGAGUUACUUACGAGGGGGUAUUAAAGUACUGCUGGUGUAGAGAUGAAAUUCUGUCAUACCUCUUUUCGAAAGAAAAAUUACGGCACAGGUAUAGGCGAAGGCAUCCCCUUAUGUGAUAACUGACGUUGAGGGACGAAGGCUUCGUGUAACAAACAGGAUUAGGUACCCUAGUAGUUGAAGCAGAAAAUGAUGAAUGUCAUAGAUUAGACGUCUAAGUUUAUUCUAUAAAUGAAAGUGUAAGCAUUCCACCUCAUGAGUAAUUUGGCAACAUUGGAAUUGAAAUCAUUAGACCGUUUCUGAAACCAGUAGUGAAGUAUGUUGUUUAAUUUGACGAUCCGCAAAAAACCUUACCACAAUUUGAAUAUUUAUAUUUAACAUAUAUCUACAAGCGUUGCACGGCUGUCUUCAGUUAAUGUCGCGAGAUUGGUUAGUUCCAUUAAAUUAACGUAAACCCUUACUUUAUUUUUUAUAUAGAGUAGUUCCCCGCUAUAUUGGAUAUGAU